rnacentral:rRNA from 1 species
UGCCAGCAGCCGCGGUAAUACGGAGGGUGCGAGCGUUAAUCGGAAUUAUUGGGCGUAAAGCGCGUGUAGGCGGUUCGUUAAGUCUGAUGUGAAAGCCCGGGGCUCAACCCCGGAAGUGCAUUGGAAACUGGCGAACUUGAGUACGGGAGAGGAAAGUGGAAUUCCGAGUGUAGGGGUGAAAUGCGUAGAGAUCUGAAGGAACAUCAGUGGCGAAGGCGACCUCCUGGACUGAUAUUGACGCUGAGGUGCGAAAGCGUGGGGAGCAAACAGGAUUAGAUA